GAUUACAUUUCCUUUCUGUAAUCGCGGCUG
rnacentral:ncRNA from 1 species